AGUUUAGAUGAGUCAAGAAAUUCAUCCUUUUUUGUUUUUUAAGAUUUUACAACUUAAUGGAGGACGGAUUUUUAAAUUAUUGACAUAAUGUUCUGUAUUUUGAUUGUCUAUUGUAAUUUUUCCUUCAUAUUCUUGAUUCUCUUAAUAUGAGUCAUCUCUUUUGGUUAAUUGGGCCAAGGGUUUGCCAAGUUUCUCAAAGAUCCAGCUCUUAGACUCAUUGAUUCUUUGUACUGUUUUGUUUCUAUAUCAUUAAUUUCUGUCUUGAUUUUUAUUAUUUCUUACAAAACACUUGGUCUCCUCUUGUUUUUCUAAAUUCUUGAAUAGCAUUAAGUUAUUUAUCUAUGAUUUCUGAAUUUUUCGCUUUUGUUUUUCAAGACAGAGUUUUUCUGUGUAGCUUUGGCUGUCCUAGAAGUAGACCAGACUCAUAGAGAUCUACCUCCCUCUAUCUCCAGAGUGCCGGGAUUGAAGGCAUGCACCACCACUGCCCAGCUACCUUCUGACUUUUUAAUGUAGACACUUACAUAUAAACUCCCCACGUGGGCCUACUUUCAGUGUGCCCCACAGGCUGUGCUUUCAUUCUCACUUAUUCUCAAGAAUACUUUCUUUUAUUUCUGACCCAUACAUCAUGGAAUAAUGAGUUGUUAAAUCUCCAUGAGUUUGUGUACUUAUUAGAGUUUUGUUUGCUGUUUUGUUUUAUUACUUAAUGGUUUCAAAGGAUACAGUGGAUUAGUUCAAAGGUUUGCUUUGUGUGCCAGCAUAUUUUAGAGAAGCUCUUAUGUGCUGCUGAGAGAAUGUAUAUUAAUUGGUAUUUUUGGUAGAACAUUCUAUAGAUAUUUUAGGACCAUGUGAGGCAAGAUAACAUCCUGAAGUUUCUCUGUUUUUUUUGUUUUUGUUUGUUUGUUUUCUCUUGUUUGUCCAGAUGACUUAUCUACUGGAGAAGGUGGGUUAUUAAAAAUUAUACUGCGAUUGUGACUGUGUUAAUCUGUCCUUAAUUACAUUAGUGUAUUUGUAACUAAAUUGCGCACAUCAGAGUUUGGUUUAUACAUGUCAAUAUUGUCAUAUAUUUCUGACUAAUUAAUGUCUUGAUUAAAAUGAAGUACUCUUCAUAGUAUCUUUGAUUAGUUUCCAUUUGAAAUCUAUUUUUUUCUUAUGUUAGAAUGGCAAGCCUGUUUUCUUCUUUACCCUACUUACUUGGAAUACUUUUUCCAUUCUUUCCAUGUGUGGAACCUAUUUUUAAAGCUGAGGUUUUCUAUAGACAAUAUAUAAUGGAUUUUGAUUUUUAAUCCACUAAUAUUUAAAGUUAUUAUUGAAAGGUAUGUGUAGACUGCAGUCAGUUUGAUUUUUUCUGGUUUGUGUUUAGUUGCUUCUUGUUUUGUUUUGUUUUGUUUUUAAUUAGGCUUCAUUUCUUUUCUUCCUAGAAAAGAAAUGCUGUACUUCGUGUCCCUCCUCUCCUCCAGUCAGAGUUUUGCUUCUAGCAUUGUUUAGUGGUUUGGUUUUGUUCUUUAACUAGGGCAUUUUUGUUCUUCAGGAUGUUUAGACCAUGGAAAGAUUUUCUUUAUCCUGCAAUUAUGGCAGACACUUUUGCUGGAUACCAUAAAAAGUUGGCAGUUGGUCUUUCCGAAUGUGUACUGCAUUGUUCGGAGCUCUUCAGGCUUUCAGAGUUUCCAUUGCAAAAUUAGGAAUUGUUGUGAUUUGUUUUCCUUCGCAUGUGACCUGUUUUUUCCUUUGCAGAUUUCUCUGUUCAGUACGUUCAGUGUCUUCAUUGUGAUGCACUGGGAGGUGUUUCUCUUUGGGUCCUGCUUAGCUGAGGUUCUCUGUGCUUCUUGUAUGUAAUGUCUUUCCUUAGUUUCAGGAAGUUUCCUUCCAUGAUCUGGUCUGUGCUACUCUCUUGGGAUUCUUUCUUCAAUAUGCCUAUAAUAUGAAGAUUUGUUCUUUUGAUGAUGUCCCAUAUUUCCUGUAAAAUCCUUUCGUGUAUGUUAGAAAGUUUCGUUUUCUUUGCUUAUUUAAUAUACAUCCUCUAUCUCCAAGUCCUGAUAUUCUGUCUUCUGCUUGGACGAUUUCCCCCUGAAGUUUCUCACUGGGUUAAUUUUCCAAUUCAUCUUGGCUUGUAUUUCCAUCUCUUUAUUAAAUUCAGUUUUGAAAUCUUAAAUUCUCUUUAUUGAAGUUCUUGGAUAUUUCUCAGGUGUUUGUUAUUCUCAUGUUAGACUUAAGUGAAGUAUUUAUGUCUUCAUUAAAUUCCUAAAUGAAUUAUUAGGUAAAAAUUUGAUUGUUCUUUUAAAUUGUACCCUGGGGUUCAUCUAGGGAGGUCUGAGUAGAGAGCACUUGUAUGGGUUAGUGAGUGAGAAGACAUAGUGCUGUGGUCUUUCGUUGUUUGUUUGAUUUGACCUCAGCAUGUGGACUUCUUGGGUGUGUCUGGUGUGUUCGCCUGGCCUUCCUUAGACUGGGCCAAUGCAGGAGAUGUAUCACCUGAGCUAGACCAAGUAAAGCUGGAGCAGCUGUUUAAUUGGACCAAGAAAAGAGUGCUUCCAAACCACAGCUCUAGAUGUAGGCCAGGAAGAGGGGCCACAGGUGAGCUCAUCGCUUCAAGUCAUCGCUGUAAGUUAUUGCUUCAAGUCUAUAAUUAGGAUGAUGAAUUUGCAGACAGCAGGUUGGAGGGAAGAAGUUAACUUUUUAAAGAUUUUGUGUGUGUGUGUGUGUGUGUGUGUGUGUGUGUG
rnacentral:lncRNA from 1 species